CCUGGUUGAUAUCAAAACUAGAGUUCAGACAUUUGGUGUAUGUGCUUGGCUGAGGAGCCACUGGGGUGAAACUAACUAACAUCUGUGGGAUUAUGACUGAACGCCUCUAAGUCAGCAGCGCCGCGGUGUCUCCGUUGGCCUUAGAGCCUCGGUUGGCCUCGGAUAGCCAGGUCCAGUGCGGAGAGCCCCUCGUCCUGGGAAACGGGGUGUGGCUGGAAAGGGGGCCGCCCCCUCUCCUUUCACGCAACUCACAUUUGUGGGGAACCUGGUGCUAAACCAUUCGUAGACGACCUGCUUCUAGGUCGGGGUUUCCUACAUUGUAGAGCAGCUCCCCUGCUGCAAUCUAUUGAAAGUCAGCUCUUGACACAAGGGUUU
rnacentral:ncRNA from 1 species